rnacentral:rRNA from 1 species
AUGCAAGUCGAACGGCAGCACGGGAGCAAUCCUGGUGGCGAGUGGCGAACGGGUGAGUAAUGUAUCGGAACGUACCUUUCAGUGGGGGAUAACGUAGCGAAAGUUACGCUAAUACCGCAUAUUCUGUGAGCAGGAAAGCAGGGGAUCGCAAGACCUUGCGCUGAUUGAGCGGCCGAUAUCAGAUUAGCUAGUUGGUGAGGUAAAGGCUCACCAAGGCGACGAUCUGUAGCGGGUCUGAGAGGAUGAUCCGCCACACUGGAACUGAGACACGGUCCAGACUCCUACGGGAGGCAGCAGUGGGGAAUUUUGGACAAUGGGGGCAACCCUGAUCCAGCCAUGCCGCGUGAGUGAAGAAGGCCUUCGGGUUGUAAAGCUCUUUCAGCCGGGAAGAAAUCACAUGGGUUAAUACCCUGUGUGGAUGACGGUACCGGAAUAAGAAGCACCGGCUAACUACGUGCCAGCAGCCGCGGUAAUACGUAGGGUGCGAGCGUUAAUCGGAAUUACUGGGCGUAAAGCGUGCGCAGGCGGUUUGUUAAGAUAGGCGUGAAAUCCCCGGGCUCAACCUGGGAACUGCGUUUAUGACUGGCAGGCUAGAGUAUGGCAGAGGGGGGUGGAAUUCCACGUGUAGCAGUGAAAUGCGUAGAGAUGUGGAGGAACACCGAUGGCGAAGGCAGCCCCCUGGGCCAAUACUGACGCUCAUGCACGAAAGCGUGGGUAGCAAACAGGAUUAGAUACCCUGGUAGUCCACGCCCUAAACGAUGUCAACUAGGUGUUGGGUGGGUAAAACCAUUUAGUACCGGAGCUAACGCGUGAAGUUGACCGCCUGGGGAGUACGGCCGCAAGGUUAAAACUCAAAGGAAUUGACGGGGACCCGCACAAGCGGUGGAUGAUGUGGAUUAAUUCGAUGCAACGCGAAAAACCUUACCUACCCUUGACAUGUCCAGAAGCUCUUAGAGAUUUGAGUGUGCCCGAAAGGGAACUGGAACACAGGUGCUGCAUGGCUGUCGUCAGCUCGUGUCGUGAGAUGUUGGGUUAAGUCCCGCAACGAGCGCAACCCUUGUCGUUAAUUGCCAUCAUUCAGUUGGGCACUUUAACGAGACUGCCGGUGACAAACCGGAGGAAGGUGGGGAUGACGUCAAGUCCUCAUGGCCCUUAUGGGUAGGGCUUCACACGUCAUACAAUGGUCGGUACAAAGGGUUGCCAACCCGCGAGGGGGAGCUAAUCCCAGAAAGCCGAUCGUAGUCCGGAUCGUAGGCUGCAACUCGCCUGCGUGAAGUCGGAAUCGCUAGUAAUCG